rnacentral:rRNA from 1 species
GACGAACGCUGGCGGCGUGCUUAACACAUGCAAGUCGAACGGAAAGGCCCUUCGGGGUCCUCGAGUGGCGAACGGGUGGGUAACACGUGGGUGAUCUGCCCUGCACUUUGGGAUAAGCCUGGGAAACUGGGUCUAAUACCGGAUAGGACCACGGCAUUCAUGUGCUGUGGUGGCAAGCUUUUGCGGUGUGGGAUGGGCCCGCGGCCUAUCAGCUUGUUGGUGGGGUAAUGGCCUACCAAGGCGACGACGGGUAGCCGGCCUGAGAGGGUGACCGGCCACACUGGGACUGAGAUACGGCCCAGACUCCUACGGGAGGCAGCAGUGGGGAAUAUUGCACAAUGGGCGCAAGCCUGAUGCAGCGACGCCGCGUGAGGGAUGACGGCCUUCGGGUUGUAAACCUCUUUCGCCAGGGACGAAGCGCAAGUGACGGUACCUGGAGAAGAAGGACCGGCCAACUACGUG